rnacentral:rRNA from 1 species
AUGGCGUGUGGUGGCGUAUUUUGCUUCCGAGAACAGUACUGUUUAUUUGAAGUGAGAUGUACUCGUCUAGUGCCUCGCAAAAAAAUGAAGGAUGAAGUGUCAUGUACUGUCUAUGUUGUAGUGAGCUAUAGUAGGAGUGAAAUGAAAAUGUAUCUGCUGUUGUAUGUGCUAUUUUGCUAUAAUGUAUUGUGUAUAUUUUACUUGAACAUUAAAUUCUCCAGAAAAAAUGUUCUUACUGGACCUGAUAGUGGCCACGGCCCAAAUAUACUUGUACUAUUAAGAUGCCAUGGCCCAAAAUAA